UUGAGCGGAGAUAUAUGGAGCUUGCUUUAUAUAACUUAGCAGCGAACGGGUGAGUAACACGUAGAUAAUCUAUCCUAUACUGGGGGAUAGCCCGAUGAAAGUUGGAUUAAUACCGCAUAUAGCUAUAUAGUUGCAUGAUUAUGUAGUGAAAGAUUUAUUGGUAUAGGAGGAGUCUGCGGCACAUUAGCUAGUAGGUGAGGUAAAGGCUUACCUAGGCGACGAUGUGUAGCCGGUCUGAGAGGAUGAACGGCCACAAUGGAACUGAGACACGGUCCAUACUCCUACGGGAGGCAGCAGUGGGGAAUAUUGCACAAUGGGGGAAACCCUGAUGCAGCAACGCCGCGUGAGUGAAGAAGGUUUUCGGAUUGUAAAGCUCUGUUAGCAGGGAAGAGGAAGGACGGUACCUGCAGAGGAAGCCACGGCUAACUACGUGCCAGCAGCCGCGGUAAUACGUAGGUGGCAAGCGUUGUUCGGAAUAACUGGGCGUAAAGGAUGCGUAGGCGGUUAAACAAGUUAUAUGUUAAAUAUAUAGGCUUAACCUGUAGAAAGCAUAUAAAACUGUUUAACUAGAGCGCAGGAGAGGUAAGUGGAAUUCAUAGUGUAGCGGUGAAAUGCGUAGAGAUUAGGAAGAACACCAGUGGCGAAGGCGACUUACUGGACUGUAACUGACGCUGAGGCAUGAGAGCAUGGGGAGCAAACAGGAUUAGAUACCCUGGUAGUCCAUGCUGUAAACGAUGGGUACUAGGUGUGGGUUGUGAAUAACAAUUCGUGCCGUCGCAAACGC
rnacentral:rRNA from 1 species